GGAAGCUUGGCAGAGUGGUCGAUUGCACUGGUCUUGAAAACCAGCAAGGGGAAACCCUUCGUGAGUUCGAAUCUCACAGCUUCCGCCA
rnacentral:tRNA from 1 species